rnacentral:rRNA from 1 species
GCAGCAGCCGCGGUAAUACGUAGGUGGCAAGCGUUGUCCGGAAUUAUUGGGCGUAAAGGGCUCGCAGGCGGUUUCUUAAGUCUGAUGUGAAAGCCCCCGGCUCAACCGGGGAGGGUCAUUGGAAACUGGGAAACUUGAGUGCAGAAGAGGAGAGUGGAAUUCCACGUGUAGCGGUGAAAUACGUAGAGAUGUGGAGGAACACCAGUGGCGAAGGCGACUCUCUGGUCUGUAACUGACGCUGAGGAGCGAAAGCGUGGGGAGCGAACAGGAUUAGAUACCCGCGUAGUCCCUGUCUCUUAUAC